rnacentral:rRNA from 1 species
GGCCAGACUCCUACGGGAGGCAGCAGUGGGGAAUAUUGCACAAUGGGCGCAAGCCUGGUGCAGCCAUGCCGCGUGUAUGAAGAAGGCCUUCGGGUUGUAAAGUACUUUCAGCGGGGAGGAAGGUGUUGAGGUUAAUAACCUCAGCAAUUGGCGUUACCGACAGAAGAAGCACCGGCUAACUCCGUGCCAGCAGCCGCGGUAAUACGGAGGGUGCAAGCGUUAAUCGGAAUUACUGGGCGUAAAGCGCACGCAGGCGGUUGAUUGAGUCAGAUGUGAAAUCCCCGGGCUUAACCCGGGAAUUGCAUCUGAUACUGGUCAGCUAGAGUCUUGUAGAGGGGGGUAGAAUUCCAUGUGUAGCGGUGAAAUGCGUAGAGAUGUGGAGGAAUACCGGUGGCGAAGGCGGCCCCCUGGGACGCAACUGACGCUCAUACACGAAAGCGUGGGGAGCAAACAGGAUUAGAUACCCGAGUAAA